rnacentral:rRNA from 1 species
GAUGAACGCUAGCUACAGGCUUAACACAUGCAAGUCGAGGGGAAACGAUAUUGGAAGCUUGCUUCCGAUAGGCGUCGACCGGCGCACGGGUGAGUAACGCGUAUCCAACCUGCCCAUCACUUGGGGAUAACCUUGCGAAAGUAAGACUAAUACCCAAUGAUAUCUCUAGAUGACAUCUGAAAGGAAUUAAAGAUUUAUCGGUGAUGGAUGGGGAUGCGUCUGAUUAGCUUGUUGGCGGGGUAACGGCCCACCAAGGCGACGAUCAGUAGGGGUUCUGAGGGGAAGGUCCCCCACAUUGGAACUGAGACACGGUCCAAACUCCUACGGGAGGCAGCAGCGAGGAAUAUUGGUCAAUGGGCGAGAGCCUGAACCAGCCAAGUAGCGUGCAGGAUGACGGCCCUAUGGGUUGUAAACUGCUUUUAUAAGGGAAUAAAGUGGGAGUCGUGACUCCUUUUGCAUGUACCUUAUGAAUAAGGACCGGCUAAUUCCGUGCCAGCCGCCGCCGUAA